GAGGGUGUAGCUCAGUGGUUAGUGGACAUGCUUAGCAUGCUAGAGAUCCUGGGUUCAAUCCCCAGUACCUCCA
rnacentral:tRNA from 1 species